CCUACGGGAGGCAGCAGUGGGGAAUAUUGCACAAUGGGCGGAAGCCUGAUGCAGCGACGCCGCGUGAGGGAUGAAGCCCUUCGGGUUGUAAACCUCUUUCAGCAGGGACGAAGCGUGAGUGACGGUACCUGCAGAAGAAGCCCCGGCUAACUACGUGCCAGCAGCCGCGGUAAUACGUAGGGUGCGAGCGUUGUCCGGAAUUACUGGGCGUAAAGAGUUCGUAGGCGGUUUGUCGCGUCGUUUGUGAAAACCCGGGGCUCAACUUCGGGCUUGCAGGCGAUACGGGCAGACUUGAGUGUUUCAGGGGAGACUGGAAUUCCUGGUGUAGCGGUGAAAUGCGCAGAUAUCAGGAGGAACACCGGUGGCGAAGGCGGGUCUCUGGGAAACAACUGACGCUGAGGAACGAAAGCGUGGGUAGCAAACAGGAUUAGAUACCCUGGUAGUCCACCCCGUAAACGGUGGGCGCUAGGUGUGGGUUCCUUCCACGGGAUCUGUGCCGUAGCUAACGCAU
rnacentral:rRNA from 1 species